AUGAUGCCCAUUUCGAUUUCUGUGUGUGCCAAAGUUGAAGCCCAGUACCAUCAUUUUAUCUGCAAGCAUUAUGUGUUUACAUUUCCAGACUGUUUUAGCAGAAGUGCCUGGCUAUUUGGGGAUAAUGCAACCUGCUCGUGCUGUGUACUGUGCGUGAAAAAUGUCCACAAGCACAGGGCUUCCUGUCGAAAGGAUUUGGACACCACCAGCCUGACACCAGAGCUUUGGAGCCACAUCCCUGAAAGAUUUUCUUUGAAGUAUCAGAAAAGAUUUACAGGGGGCCUGUGGUCUGAACGCUUCCAGUGUGGUGAAGUAGAAGAAACCAGAAACCAGUCAUGCCUUCUAAGGAAAUCUUCUGUAACAAGUGUGGAGAAGGCAGAGAACCUAAAAGAAGCAAGUGCAGGUGAAUUCCAAGUCACGGCAGAGCAGAAGUUAUAGCUCAAGCUCUGAGCAGGGCAACUCGUACACUUCCUCUCUCCUCUUUCCUAAAGAAGACAAAUACAUCUUUUUUCUUCUUUCUGUAAGUUGUAAACUUCUGGAAAUGUUUUUGUUUUGCUUGGAGGUAACUAAAAAUUGCUACAUUAAUUUUAAGUCUGUUGUUGAAUAAUAAGUGCCUGGAGGUUUGCUUUUUGCCUAGUAGGUUAGUGCCUGAUGA
rnacentral:lncRNA from 1 species